GGCAGAGAGCGGAAGUUUGCCUCGUAUCUACUUUGAAGUGUUUGAAUGGACUGAGGCACAAGCUCUCCCGCCAAACUACAAAUGCAGCGGCUCCGAACUACCAGCCCUCCAGCCCAUCAGGAAUCCACGCGCUUUCCUCACUUUCUGCUCUCCGCCUUUCUCCUUGCGGGGCACCCAGCCGUCCCCCAAGGCCCUCUCCGCGGUCGCUCUGCCUGAAGACUACCUGGUGCCCUUGGAAGCCAAUACUCCCGCCGCGCCCUCCCCCACCUUCUCCCCCCGGCUCCAGACCUCACCGGGGAACCCAGGCCACGAGGUCCGCGGCUCCCUCCCGCCUGCUCCCCUCGAAGUGACUCCGGCUUGGCUCGGCUCGGCUCGGAGGCGCCCUCGUGGCCACGCAGGCCUCUCCACCCUCCCGAUUGGGCCGGGCGGCGGCCGCGCCACCCAUCUCCCCGCGCCCUUGCCCAGCCAAACACCGGGAGUGGCGCCGCUUUCCCCGACCCGCCACUGGUGAGCGGAGCCCACAGGGAAACAAAGGGUCGGGCUCCAGGGCCGACGUGGCUAGGCCGAUCCUGGCCCGCUCUCCUCCAGGACCCCAACAAAGCCCGAGCCGCUGCCUCGCGCCCCCGGCCUGGCUUACCCAUCGGUCCCCGCACGCUUCUUGCCGGAGGGGUAAUCCUCCCCCAAGUCCAACCGGUGCCGCUUGGACAUCUUCGGUCUCUGCGAGCGGGCGGUUAUGAAGGAAGAAGAAAAAAAAGAAGCCGGCGGCUGUAUCGGUACAGUCGAGGGCAGCUACUUAACUCUGGAGGACCCCCACCCCUCCCGCUACAACAGCCUACACCGUGCGGCCGGAACCAGGAGCUAAAA